rnacentral:rRNA from 1 species
AAAAUUAGAGUGUUCAAAGCAGGCAGAUUCAAUUUUCUGCCACCGAAUACAUUAGCAUGGGAUAAUGGAAUAGGACCCUGUCCUCCUCUUUUCAGUUGGUUAAUUUACGUGUGAGGAUCAGGGUAAUGAUUAAUAGGGAUAGUUGGGGGCAUUAAUAUUUAAUUGUCAGAGGUGAAAUUCUUGGAUUUAUGAAAGAUUAACUUCUGCGAAAGCAUCUGCCAAGGAUGUUUUCAUUAAUCAAGAACGAAAGUUAGGGGAUCGAAGACGAUCAGAUACCGUCGUAGUCUUAACCAUAAACGAUGCCGACCAGCGAUUAGGAGACGUUGAAUACAAAACACCACUUUAUAUAAUUCAGUAUAUGGUCAGCAAUGGCUGUGUAUUGUUUGUAUAAAGUUUCAGGUGA